rnacentral:lncRNA from 1 species
AUACUCACAUUUUAUUCUUUUUUUUUUAAUUCUUUUUUCUUACAUAUUUUUAUUGCAAUUUGACUAAUUAAUAAUUUUUUUAAAAUUCCAUAAGAAUUAAAAUUUCAAAUUGAUUUAACGUUCAUGGAUAUUUGUGGGUGAAAUUUUCAAAUAAUUUUUUUUAAGAUUGUAUGAUAUUAAUUUACUAAUUGGUGCUAGGUAAAUUGUUGUGUUGUACUUGAAAAUCAAAUUAUUUCAGAUGGCAAAGUGGGGAUUUGUAUAUUUCAACUGAUAAGAUUGAGAUAAGAUAAUCUAAUCAAACGAACGAUUCAUAAGUGAUGAAAU